AACGAACGCUGGCGGCAGGCUUAACACAUGCAAGUCGAGCGCCCCGCAAGGGGAGCGGCAGACGGGUGAGUAACGCGUGGGAAUCCACCCAUCUCUACGGAAUAACGCAUGGAAACGUGUGCUAAUACCGUAUACGUCCUUCGGGAGAAAGAUUUAUCGGAGAUGGAUGAGCCCGCGUUGGAUUAGCUAGUUGGUGGGGUAAAGGCCUACCAAGGCGACGAUCCAUAGCCGGUCUGAGAGGAUGAUCAGCCACACUGGGACUGAGACACGGCCCAGACUCCUACGGGAGGCAGCAGUGGGGAAUAUUGGACAAUGGGCGCAAGCCUGAUCCAGCCAUGCCGCGUGAGUGAUGAAGGCCCUAGGGUUGUAAAGCUCUUUCACCGGUGAAGAUAAUGACGGUAACCGGGGAAGAAGCCCCGGCUAACUUCGUGCCAGCAGCCGCGGUAAUAC
rnacentral:rRNA from 1 species